UAAUUUAGGUAGUCUCUUCGAUAUAACAGACCUCUUUGAUAUAACAAUAUGGUCUGUCUGCAACUGUGAUGAAUUGCACAUUAGUGUAUAACAGUUUGACAUUGAUGUUUCUGAUGAUAAACAUUUCCAGCAAUGAUUGCGAAGCCAUCCCAGAAUGUAAAGAGAACUUUAAAGGAUGUUGUGAAGGCUAUUUGUUUAACACGGCGACCAACAGAUGCGAACUAUGUAUGCCAGGAUACAGUGGACUGAAUUGUACACUUAGCUGUCCUUAUCCUUUAUAUGGAUACCGAUGCCAGGGAUAUUGUGACUGUAGCAAUGACACGUGUGAUGUAUCAACAGGAUGUAGAACAAUCACAUCAGCACCUCUAGAUACACUAUCCAAUGCACCCAACCAAACUUUCAGCAAUGUAAUGAAUAAAACGGAGACAAUUAUAAUGGUCCAGUCAGAUGUAACAAGCAGCACAAUUGGUACACGCAUUCCUGCUUCUAAUAAAACCUUACAUAUUUUAAUAAUACUCUUUGGUGGCGUUGACAUUAUAUUAAUAUGUAUUCACUCAGCAAUUUGUGUGUCUGAUCGACGAAGACAGAAAAGAAAUAUCGCAAUGGAGAACACAAGGAAUAUACCCGGAAAAAAUUCAACGUAUGAAAAUGUGGAAAUUGCACAUGUAUGUUAACUUUAUAAACAUGACAUUUAUUAACAUUGACCUUGCUUCUCUAAGUCUUAAUAACACACAUAAUGUUUUUGGUUUUACAGUGUUGAAGACUUUAUCAUGAAAUAUUUACAUUUUCUCAUGUUUUUGUCUGUGAUGACACUACGAAUCGAUUUUGGAUUGUUGUGUCCAGUUAAUUCAAAUGACGUAUUGUUGGGGCGAAAGGAGUGUUUUCAUUGUUAAACAAAUUGUCAUAUACAUAAAUUUGUAAAUUCUUGUAUUACAAAAUCUAAUAAUUACAAUGUAAUAAAGUUUAAGUUUAAGUGCAUUUGAAAAUGUUUAAAUGUGGUUUGAUACUAAGUACUUUAAUGUCUAAUAAACAUUGAUACUAAUUUUUUUUUUAAUUAACAACCCAUUUUAGGCACUUUAAGUCCAAACAAGCGGAUAUAAACUGUAAUUAAUUUUAUAUUAUGAAGUUCAUGUCAGUAAAUUAAAAGCAACGUUUCCCUCAAAAUAAA